rnacentral:rRNA from 1 species
AACGAACGCUGGCGGCGUGCCUAACACAUGCAAGUCGAACGAGAAAGGGGCUUCGGCUCCGAGUAAAGUGGCGCACGGGUGAGUAACACGUGGGUAACCUGCCUCUAAGAUUGGGAUAACUCGUCGAAAGGUGAGCUAAUACCGGAUAAGACCACAGUUCCCGCGGGAACAGGGGUCAAAGGUAGCCUCUGCUUGCAAGCUAUCACUUAGAGAUGGGCCUGCGCACCAUUAGCUAGUUGGUAGGGUAACGGCCUACCAAGGCAAAGAUGGUUGGCUGGACUGGGAGGAUGAUCAGCCACACUGGAACUGAGACGCGGUCCAGACUCCUACGGGAGGCAGCAGUGGGGAAUAUUGCGCAAUGGGCGAAAGCUUGACGCAGCAACGCCGCGUGAGUGAUGAAGGCCUUCGGGUCGUAAAGCUCUGUCGGGAGGAACGAAUGCUCCCAAGGUUAACAGCCUCGGGAGGUGACGGUACCUUCAAAGGAAGCACCGGCUAACUCUGUGCCAGCCGCCGCAGUAAGAC